rnacentral:rRNA from 1 species
UACAGAGGGUGCGAGCGUUAAUCGGAAUUACUGGGCGUAAAGCGUGCGCAGGCGGUGAUGUAAGACAGUUGUGAAAUCCCCGGGCUCAACCUGGGAACUGCAUCUGUGACUGCAUCGCUGGAGUGCGGCAGAGGGGGAUGGAAUUCCGCGUGUAGCAGUGAAAUGCGUAGAUAUGCGGAGGAACACCGAUGGCGAAGGCAAUCCCCUGGGCCUGCACUGACGCUCCAUGCACGAAAGCGUGGGGAGCAAACAGG